UCGAACGGCAGCGGGGAGCUUGCUCCCGCCGGCGAGUGGCAAACGGGUGAGUAAUACAUCGGAACGUGCCCAGUAGUGGGGGAUAGCCCGGCGAAAGCCAGAUUAAUACCGCAUACGACCUACGGGUGAAAGCGGGGGACCGAAAGGCCUUCGCGCUAUUGGAGCGGCCGAUGGCUGAUUAGCUAGUUGGUGGGGUAAAGGCCUACCAAGCCGACGAUCAGUAGCUGGUCUGAGAGGAUGGUCAGCCACACUGGGACUGAGACACGGCCCAGACUCC
rnacentral:rRNA from 1 species